rnacentral:tRNA from 1 species
GGAGAGAUGCGAGAGCGGUUGAAUCGGACGGUCUCGAAAACCGUUAAACUCGCAAGGGUUUCGAGGGUUCGAAUCCCUCUCUCUCCG